rnacentral:tRNA from 1 species
GCCCGGGUGGUGGAAUUGGUAGACACGCGGGACUUAAAAUCCCGUGGCCAUUGCGGCCGUGCCGGUUCGACCCCGGCUCCGGGUA